AUUGAACGCUGGCGGCAGGCCUAACACAUGCAAGUCGAGCGAGCGGCGGACGGGUGAGUAAUGUCUGGGAAACUGCCUGAUGUAGGGGGAUAACUACUGGAGACGGUAGCUAAUACCGCAUACCCUCUGAUGUGCCCAGAUGGGAUUAGCUAGUCGGGGGGGUAACGGCUCACCUAGGCGACGAUCCCUAGCUGGUCUGAGAGGAUGACCAGCAACACUGGAACUGAGACACGGCCCAGACUCCUACGGGAGGCAGCAGUGGGGAAUAUUGCACAAUGGGCGCAAGCCGGAUGCAGCCAUGCCGCGUGGAUGAAGAAGGCCUUCGGGUUGUAAAGUACUUUCAGCGGGGAGGCGUUACCCGCAGAAGAAGCACCGGCUAACUCCGUGCCAGCAGCCGCGGUAAUAC
rnacentral:rRNA from 1 species